UACGAACUGUGCAAACGUUAUUCGGAAUCACUGGGCUUACAGGGUGCGUAGGCGGCUUGUUAAGUAGGGUGUGAAAGCCCCCGGCUCAACCGGGGAAUUGCGCUCUAAACUGGCGAGCUGGAGUGAGAUAGGGGUGUGUGGAACUUCCGGUGGAGCGGUGAAAUGUGUUGAUAUCGGAAGGAACGCCGGUGGCGAAAGCGGCGCACUGGACCAUAACUGACGCUGAGGCGCGAAAGCUAGGGGAGCAAACAGG
rnacentral:rRNA from 1 species